UGAAUAUAUAGAACAGCAACUACUUUGGGCGGUCUUGAUGCCAGGUCAACGCCAAAGUCUACCUAUUGGUCUGAAUAAAUAUUUGCCCAUACUCGCAGGCUUGGUCAGGAUUUGUGUAGAAAGUGCACAGCAGAACUGAGCCUAUGCAUUCCAAGUCCUGAGUACCCCUACAAAGGAAGAGGACACAAACGAAAAAUAUUCCCUCAUACCAAGGAUUGUCCUGAAAUCCAAGACCAUAUUUUAUGAGAAGACAUACAUCAGAGAGAGAGAGAUUACAGUAUGCAAUCUCUCAGCUGCCAACAGAACACAGAUGGGCUUGGGAACAGAGAAUGAUCCAGAUCUGCAGGACUGGAGCAAUCCGUGGGAAGUUUGGACAGAAGAUCUGAUGCAUAAGACAGUAAAGGACUAUUGAAUGUUCCAUGAUAGAUAUGCUUGUUCUUUUGCCUGCAUGCCCUUGAAUAAAGACAUUUUGAUCUCCAGGACCAACCUGAGAAACAUAUAAUUUAAUCUAGUUUUGAAAGAAGAGCCCUGCUACACAAAUACUGGCUCACAAUGUUAAGAGAUAUCAACUGAAAUAUCAAAGGGCUUUCAUAUUUCAUUAA
rnacentral:lncRNA from 1 species